UACUAGAGUAGCACUCGCAUAUCAAUAAGCGGAGGAAAAGAAACUAACAAGGAUUCCCCUAGUAACGGCGAGUGAAGCGGGAAGAGCUCAAAUUUGAAAUCUUAAAGGGUUUCCCUUUACGAAUUGUAGUUUAAAGAAGUGUUUUCUGUUGAGGUUUUGGUAAAAGUUCUUUGGAAUAGGACAUCAUAGAGGGUGAGAAUCCCGUAUUUGACCUUUACUUUCAACUUUGUGAUACACUUUCAAAGAGUCGGAUUGUUUGGGAAUGCAGUCCAAAAUGGGUGGUAAAUUUCAUCUAAAGCUAAAUAUUGGCGAGAGACCGAUAGCGAACAAGUACCGUGAGGGAAAGAUGAAAAGAACUUUGAAAAGAGAGUUAAACAGUACGUGAAAUUGUCAAAAGGGAAGCGUUUGACACCAGUGUUGUUUUUCUGAAAAUCAAUUAAAGAACUGUUUAUGCUAAGUUGUUUAGACUUUAUCAGCUAACUGUUUAGUUUUGAGCUUUUCUUUAAUGCACUUUUCAGUUAACAAGUCAACAUCAAUUUCUUUUGCUGUAAAAAAGCUUGAGGAAGGUGGCUUGAGAUUCGUCUUAAGUGUUUAUAGCCUCUUGCCCAUGCAGUCGGAGAGAUUGAGGUCUGCAGCGUAGAUCCUUCGGGGCUAAAUGCAUUUGUGCUAAGUUAUAGCAUUUUAUAGACAACUUGUUGACUAUGAUUUGUCUUGUAGCUUACUCGCUUAUGUUAUUUUACCUACGCUUAGGAUGUUGAGCGCAUGUCUCUCUCU
rnacentral:rRNA from 1 species